UUCAAGUCGUGAGAAACGCGUGUUUAUUAUGUCACAGUGCCACUUUCAUGCUAUUUUGCAACCAGAAACUUUUGAAAAGGUCUUGAAAGUGAUUUUUAUGAGUUUAUUAAGUGUUGUGAGAUGACUUAGUGCCAGGAAAAGUCGGCGGUAGUCGCGAUAAUCGACGAUAAAAUUGCCAAAACUGGAUUCACCGGACCAGGGCCUCGAAGUCAUGGCGGCCGGCAGAGAAACAGAAGGUGUGUGUUUUAAAAAAUUCUGAGAGAGCUACGAAGAGGUGGAAACGGAAAAUGAACUCCUUAUCGGAGCGGUGUCGACCGGUACCGUACAUAGUGAAGAGCACCUCAGAAAGUGGUGGCGCAGCGAGGAAAAACGCGCGCGCGGGGGCUCCUCCGAUUUUGCGUUUGACGUCACGUAACAAUCAAUCGAUACUCAAUUUCAGCAGCGACGGCCGCAUUGUUGAAGCGACGAUAAAAUCUUCUCGCGAUACAACAGCGCGGCAAUUGUUGCGCGUCAUUGUUUCGGAAAUAACCGUCGGUGCGGUAAACGGUCAGUUGUUCCAUUAAAAAACGGUGAGUUGUUCCGGCCAAUCAGAGGAGAGUAGCGAUGCCCCCUUUCAAAUUUUUUUAUUUUGUUUUAAUAAGAUUGAUCAAUUG